rnacentral:misc_RNA from 1 species
AAAAGAGGGUUGGUGAAUUUUGAUAAUUAACGAGGGUUUGGAAUCCCAAAUCUUAAGUAUCUGUCAUUUAGGUGAGAUAAGGGAUUUCACAAACUCAUAUUCUUUUCAUCAAUUUGUUCUAGAAUUUGUCUGAAUAAUAAGAAAUUGGAUUGCAUGAGAGACGAGAGAACAAGAAUACAAACAACUAAACCUUAAUCCCAAAU